rnacentral:other from 1 species
CGUCUUCUGGGGUGUUCGAGAGCUGGUUAAGUCCCUCGAGCCUAUAUCCUUCUAAAUGGGAGUGUCACUUUGAUGUUGUGUGCAUGUCCGCUUGUCGGAAAGCCUGAUAUGUCAGACACUGCUCCCUCUCUGAACCUCACGGUUCAGGGCCAGAAUCAGUAAACGGCACUCUGGGAGACCU